CUUCUCUCUUCUCUCCAACCCCCUCCCCCCACACCACCUGGGCCCAGCACCUGGGAUACCUUCUGGGCUCAGGGCCUCAAGCAGGCUCUUCCAGGACCCUGACCUGAGGCCUAACCCUGAGGCCGGCCCUGCCUGUGCUCCAGAGGUUGGAAUGGUGGUCUCCUCCCCGUCGCACCUCCAAGAGGCCAGGCCAGGAAGGGGCUGGGAAGAAGAGGACCACCGAACCUUGAGAAACAUGCCCAGCCUGGCUGCCGCCUCCCAGGAACAUCAGAGAAGAAAGAGAAGCUUUUCGAGGGUCCUGGAUGAAGAUGCGCCCAAAGCAUGUCCUCAAGGAUUUAACAUCCAAACCCCAGCCCAGAGGUUACUGUGAGAUUUUCACUUCUGCAGACAUCAGCAAGGCGCAAUGGAAAGAACGCAGACCAAUGAAAUCAUACUCCCUAAACAGGUCUAAGCAAUUCUACAGGCCACUACCUGUGGACCCUCUACUGGUCUGGCAAUUGAAGCAUCAAGCCUGUGUUCAUUUAAGAAGGUGCUGUCUGUACCCUCAGAAGGAAGUGUUGAGGUAUAACCCAGCCAAACGGAUUCCAAUCUGAGGCCAAGGUCAACUUAGAGACAACAGACUGUCUACUUCUUCAUGUGCAGUGAGGGCAAGGUCCCAACUGCAGUGGGGCCAGCCCAGGCAGUGACUAGAGAUACCAUCAGCUUGUCUCAGUAUCCUUUGUGUCUGAAGAACUAUCAGCAGGCAAUAGAGCCCUUCCAGUGGUCCCCACAGCCUUCCAAAUAAAGCCCAACCUUAAUGCAGCAUGGAAGCUUUCCAUGUGUUGUCCCUGCCCGCAGCUAUGAAUUCCUGGGCUGCGAUGCGCCCUCUGUGCCCCAUAUCCGACCUGGGCUGCCAGCCCACACCCAGCCACAGCAGGGGCUCCCUCUCCUGUGUCCUCCCCUAAGCCUACUCCCAUCUGGUGCCUACUCCUCAUUUUCAGCUUUGCAGACCCAGUUGAGAGGAGGGUGAAGCCAUCAGCCUAGAUCACCUGGCCAACAUUCUCUAAGGCAGCAGGGAAUGGUAAGCCCAGACCAGCAGCAGCAGCACUGGGAAUGCUUUAGAAAUGCAAAUUCUCAGGCCUCACCCUAGACCUCAUGAAUAGAAAACAAAUCCCAACACAGGCAAAAGCUGGAGAUCCACGGCCCCAGAGCAAAGGCGCCUCUGAGAAGUCCCUGAGCCCACCCUUCCCCACGAGGCUGGGCUGGCACAGCACCGGUGACUGUCCCUGCAUGUGCGCUCUGUGGGCACAGGCGCCUCCCUCAUCUCUGGCCCUCGGGGCCCUACAGAGCACCUGGAAGUCUGGUCCUACUGAACCAGUGAACAAACCAAUCUCCAGCAAUGACAAAACACCAGCUGGUCCAAUAGGAAAAAAGCAAAUGUUCUCAAGCCAUAAUACUGUAUUUGUAGCUAAACAUGUUUGAGCUUGAAUUUUUGAGUGUGAAAGAUUUUGUCUUAUUUCCAUUCGAUUUUGUCCAUUCGAUUUUGCCUUAUUUCCACUGAAAGGUUUCCUGGGACAGUGUCAAGCUCCUUUGCUGGAGUGAACGUUCUUGGAGAGGUGGCAUUCCCUCUCCAAGCUGUUAGAUGAAGCCAGCUAACUCUCCAAUAGGAAUUCCGACUGCUGGGUGCUUCCCGGGACCUGAAACUUCCAGCUUGCCGGCUUUUCCGAUUCUAAGGGUUAGCCCAGGGACACUGUCAUUGUCAUCAUUUAGUUCUCCCUGUGGCAAAUGAUUACAUAUCAGAAAGAGCAGAGGGGGGCUGCCCCUGAGAUGGCCCACAUCAAGGCACCAGCCAGCAUUCUAAGCACCAGAGGUUGCCCUGUGGCACUCUCCCCAAGCCCCUACUUGGUAAGAGAAAAGCUCCACUGAACCCUUCUGGACACAAAGGGUUUUUACACAGCAGCCCAGAGUUCUGCCUGACUGAGCUGAAUAUGAUGGUGAAAUCCUUUGGCAUGCUAGAAAAGAGAGGAACCAUCUACAAAGGAGCUGUCAGGAGGGCAUCUCUCAGAGCAAGAAACCAAGCUGGGCUCAGUGCUCCAGCCUGCCAAGCAGCCCCGGAGCGACCGCACAGCUGACGGUAGAUGCUCCAAGGUUCUCUAAUUACUCAACCCAUUUCCACCUGGAGGGGCUCCAGCGCUUGGCUGGGGCAGACAUCCCACAGCCUCAGCAUCCUGACCCACUGUGGCUAAACGAGCUGGGCGCAAGGCAGGCGCACACCCCAGACUGUCUUGGUUCAACGAGACCUCAGGAGCGCUGGUGCACACACAAGUCUUCCAGCCCAAGAUUACUCUGGUCCAUCUAGCACAGCAGUUCUCAAAGCGAGGUCUAGGGAUCCUGGCAGUCUCAGGGAACCUCGUAGGGGGUCAGUGAGACCAUAACUAUUUUCUUAGUCAUACUAAGACCUUAAUGACUUUUCUCUCUCUCUCUCCCAGCCACCUUCCAGCCAGAUGCUAAAUUUGUAAAAAUGUAAAAACAAUGCCACACUUCUCCCUAAUUUUUUUUUUUUUGGAAAAUAUAGUGAUUGUUAAUAAAAGUAUGUUCUGUUAUUUAUGGUAACAUGUAAUGAGCUGCUCGAUGUUAUUUUUAAAUGAAGUAAUAAAUAUGUAAACC
rnacentral:lncRNA from 1 species